rnacentral:rRNA from 1 species
GACGAACGCUGGCGGCGUGCUUAACACAUGCAAGUCGAACGGAAAGGCCCUGCUUUCGUGGGGUGCUCGAGUGGCGAACGGGUGCGUAACACGUGAGUAACCUGCCCUUGACUUUGGGAUAACUUCAGGAAACUGGGGCUAAUACCGGAUAGGAGCUCCUGCUGCAUGGUGGGGGUUGGAAAGUUUCGGCGGUUGGGGAUGGACUCGCGGCUUAUCAGCUUGUUGGUGGGGUAGUGGCUUACCAAGGCUUUGACGGGUAGCCGGCCUGAGAGGGUGACCGGCCACAUUGGGACUGAGAUACGGCCCAGACUCCUACGGGAGGCAGCAGUGGGGAAUAUUGCACAAUGGGCGGAAGCCUGAUGCAGCAGCGCCGCGUGCGGGAUGACGGCCUUCGGGUUGUAAACCGCUUUCGCCUGUGACGAAGCGUGAGUGACGGUAAUGGGUAAAGAAGCACCGGCUAACUACGUG